rnacentral:rRNA from 1 species
CCUACGGGUGGCAGCAGUCGAGAAUCAUUCACAAUGGGGGAAACCCUGAUGGUGCGACGCCGCGUGGGGGAAUGAAGGUCUUCGGAUUGUAAACCUCUGUCAUGUGGGAGCAAAUUAAAAAGAUAGUACCACAAGAGGAAGAGACGGCUAACUCUGUGCCAGCAGCCGCGGUAAUACAGAGGUCUCAAGCGUUGUUCGGAAUCACUGGGCGUAAAGCGUGCGUAGGCUGUUUCGUAAGUCGUGUGUGAAAGGCGCGGGCUCAACCCGCGGACGGCACAUGAUACUGCGAGACUAGAGUAAGGGAGGGGGAGCCGGAAUUCGCGGUGUAGCAGUGAAAUGCGUAGAUAUCGAGAGGAACACUCGUGGCGAAGGCGGGUUCCUGGACAUUAACUGACGCUGAGGCACGAAGGCCAGGGGAGCGAAAGGGAUUAGAUACCCCAGUAGUC